rnacentral:tRNA from 2 species
GACACCAUAGCCAAGUGGUUACGGCGACAGAUUCGAAUCCGUUUGACUAUCUGUUUCACUUUGUGAGCGCAGGUUCGAAUCCUGCUGGUGUCG